CCUACGGGUGGCAGCAGUGGGGAAUAUUGGACAAUGGGGGCAACCCUGAUCCAGCCAUGCCGCGUGUGUGAAGAAGGCCCUCGGGUUGUAAAGCACUUUCAGUGAGGAAGAACGCCUGGUGGUUAAUACCCAUCAGGAAAGACAUCACUCACAGAAGAAGCACCGGCUAACUCCGUGCCAGCAGCCGCGGUAAUACGGAGGGUGCGAGCGUUAAUCGGAAUUACUGGGCGUAAAGCGCGCGUAGGUGGCUUGAUAAGCCGGUUGUGAAAGCCCCGGGCUCAACCUGGGAACGGCAUCCGGAACUGUCAAGCUAGAGUGCAGGAGAGGAAGGUAGAAUUCCCGGUGUAGCGGUGAAAUGCGUAGAGAUCGGGAGGAAUACCAGUGGCGAAGGCGGCCUUCUGGACUGACACUGACACUGAGGUGCGAAAGCGUGGGUAGCAAACCGGAUUAGAUACCCCGGUAGUC
rnacentral:rRNA from 1 species